GCUUUAAUAGUUUAAACAAAACAUUGGUCUUGUAAAUCAAUAAUAAGACUCCCCCUCCUCUUUUAAAGCU
rnacentral:tRNA from 1 species